rnacentral:piRNA from 1 species
UUGGAUUCUGCGCCUUGACUCAAGCUGU